UGCAGACGCAGGCGCCGACCGAACAUCCCAGGCUGGCGGGAGCCCAGAGGCCCCGGCGCGCGAGUGGGAAGGGUGCGAAGUUCCCCUGCUGGCCCGAAAGCUACGGACAGGUGUUAAGAGGGGCCCGUGCGCGCAGCGACAGAAGGAGAAGGCGAGCCCGAGAAACAGACGGUGACACGGAGCAAGAGCCAGAGUGACAAAGAUACGGAAAGAAAGAAAAAGACGGAGAAACAGAGCGACACAAACAGAAGCAGGGACUGAGACACGCAGAAACACACAAGCUAACAGGAGACACAGAAGAAGACAAAGAGCAAGGAGAUAGACAGAGACCCAGAGAAAGGGCCAUGAACCAGCAGAGACAGAGAAAAAGUCGGAGACGGAACUCCAGAGCCCCCCUCCCCCACUCCGGUCGCGGUCCAUCCCAAGGUCCGCGCGCCCUCCUCCGCCCGGGCCCACCCCGCAGCUCCCCGCCGGGCUCGUGCCCCCACCCGCCCCGGCCCCGGCGGCACGGUGGCCUCACCCAGCCUAACUGCCUCGUUGUACUUGAGCAGCGCCGCCUCCACCUGGCGCUCGCGGUACAGCCGGUUGCCCUCGUGCCGGAGUUGCGACGCCCUUGCCGGGCCCGGGAACAACUUCCCGAGGAGGCCGCUGAGCACCACGUUGACCCGCAGCGGCGGCGCCUGCUGCCCAGCUCGCCGGGCCCCGCGCGCCCGCCCGGUGGCCACCAUCAAAGCGGAGAGUUUGACCCCGCACAGCGCACAGCGCCGGUCGGCUGCCCGCCCGCGUUCCAGGCACAGUUUACAAAAGGUGUGUCCGCAGGACAAGGACACGGGGUCUGAGAGAAAUCCAUGGCACUUCCGGCACUUGAAGCCGUCCCACACCUCGGUGGCCUCGGCGGCCGUCGCCGCCCCUGCCUCUUCCGCCGCCAGAGCGCAGCUCGCCCCGCGGCUCCCGUCCGGGGGCUCCGGCGCCGGCUCCUCGCCUUGAGGGACUUUCUCGGCCAGGCAGCGCACCAGCUGCUCCAGCUGCUCGGCCACCAGCUGCUGCCGCUCCGAGAGCUGUCGGUACACCUCGAGGGCUUCACGGAGGCGCCCCCCAGACGCCAGGGCGUCGGCCUGCGUGAGAAGGACUUUGCACUCCGGCGUCGAGGCCCUCGGAGGACGCUCCUGCGGCGGCGGCCGAGUCGGUAGAGAGAAAUUUAUUUCUGGAGACUGGGAAGUCCAAGAUCAAAGUGCUGGCAGAUCCAGUGUCUGAUGCAGAUUUGGGCUGUGCCUUUGCUCCCUGGACCACCUCGACAAGUAAGCAUUCCCUGGGUUGGCUUCCCUCCCUUACCCGCCAUGGCAAGGAGGCAAGGAGAAGGCCAAGUCAGGCAGCGGGUUUCAUUCAGUCCUGCAGACUUCGAGUGGAGUUGCUCUCAUCAGGUGGCCCCUCCGGACAGCUGUGUGUGCCAUGGCUAACCAGGAACUUAGGAAGGUUGAAAGCUGCCAGUGUGUUGCAGGGUGCAAUGGUGCAAAAGGCAGCACCAUCCACUCACUACCAGGCCACGUGAGAGUUUUACGUUGCAUUUUCACAUCAGGACUGCCUGUAGGAUAACACCCAGUGGGUUUCUAUUGAAUACUGGAGAACAUUACCACAAUGCUUGUCCUUCCUUCUUUCUUUAAACAAACAUUCCAUUGGUAUUCAUUUGUGGACCAACUCACAAAUCUCCUACUCAAAACUUCUUCUCCUCUGCCCUUAAUGAUUGAAGUUCCCUAGAACUUGACAAUGAGGGGAGAGGAGAAAUUGAGAACGCUUUUUCAGAUGCCAAUAUUCCCUUUAAAGGGCUGGGUCCUUCAAACCUCCAGUUAUUUUGCCAGCAUCCCCUCCUGGCUAAGGUUAACCAAGAAAAAGAGCAAGAGUUGAUCCGCUCCUCCUUUUCAACUGACUUACAGCAAGUUUUCCAACUGGGCCCUGAGGAUUCUCGCUGGGGCCCAGAGGAGACAGCAGGCAGGGUUCAACUCUAGCUCCCCUCAACCAGGGCAACCUUGUGUCCACCUGUUUCAUGUAGUGAGCUUUGGGGAUGAUUUCAUUGAAGAAAGGCUUUCCCUUCCUUAAAAUUAAAAAGUUUGAAAACUGUAGCAGUUUUCACCUCUUUUAACAUAUUUGCUGAGCAUCUUCUAUGUACCAGGCACUGUUCUAGGUAUUGGAGAUAUAUCAAAGCAGCACUUCGCUCCCAGGUCCUCCCUUAUAUAUGGUGGCAGCUUUUCCCCACACAUUCUUGUCCCGGCCUCCCAGGCCAACUAGAGGGCAAGGACUAGUGUCUUAUGUCUUUCAUUUCCUCCUCAGGGGACAGUAUUUGAACAGACCGUACUGAACACUGCAGUGGACAUUCUGACCCUACAUGGGAGUGUGCAGAGGGACAAGAGGAAACCCAGCUAGAAUAUGUCAUACCUUUGCCCUGGGUUGUUCACAGAGAGAGAGGGCAUGCAGAUAAUUAAGGGUUAACAGUCCUACACUUGGGAAGGACUGGUAACAGCUCUGGGAUGGAAGAAUCCAGUCAAAGCCAGGGAGCUGCAGUGAGGAAUGAGCGACACCGCCACACACACACACUCACUCUCUCUCUCUCUCUCUCUCUCUCUCACACACACACACACACACACACACACACACACUCACACUAAGCAUGGAAGCUUGGCCAAAGCAUUUACUUGUUCUUUACUUGAGUUUCUCAUUUUAUAAACUGGAGAUGAUCCAUCGAUUAUGUAGUCCUUAGAGGAAAAAAAAUUAGGCAUGGUGGGCAUUAAAGACAUUGACAUGAAAAAGGCUGCCCUUGCUAUCUAGAGUAGCCAAAAAAUCCAAAGCUAAAAGAAACUUUACAGAUCAGCCCCGGUUUCACAAGUGAGGGAACCAAGGGCUAGAGAAGGCGAGCGACUUGCUGCAGGUCACAAUGGGAGUUUGUGACAGAGCCAAGAUUGGAAGCUAGGGCUCUUGCCUCUUUGUUUAAAGUUCUUUCCAUGUGACCAGAAAGCUUCCAAAGGACACAGAGCGUCUCCCAAAUAAAUAAGAAAUUAUUUCAGAUUUCCGAAUUACAAGAUUUGCCAUUCAACAAAUAUUUACUGAAGAGAUACUAGGUGCUAAUGGAGCUGGCAUUUGCGGGGCAAUAAGAGAAGGGUAGGUCAUGGUUUUUACCCUCCAGUAGCUAACUGAGGAAACAAGAGGCAAAGAUUUGAAACAGUUAAGUAAAAAUAACAAGCAGUAUGUGAGAAGUGCCAAAAUUGGGGGAACAGUGAGUCCAAGGGAGAGCUCAAAGGAGACAGAACGCAAUGCUUCCCAUCUCGUAGCAAAGGUUCCUUUAAGCUGAGUUGGAGAGGAUUUACAUAGAAAAGUUAAAGACCACCCCGAUGCUCAAAUCAAGGGGGUUCCCUUCACCCUGGGGGCCACUUGGCCGGGAGAAAGGAGAAGAAAUCCAAGUAAGCCAGGCUGGGCAAGGCCCAGGAAUUUGUAUUUUUAAAGGCCACCAUGUGAUUACCAUGCUCAGCCAGGUUUGAAGUUCACCCGUGUAAAGGGUAACGCAGAAUAGACUGGAUAAGGGCACCCCACUCCUCUCCCUAGCGCACCCAGCUUCUCUGGGGGUAGGCACCAAUAAAUCUUGUCUACAUUUUACUGAAGGGAAAACUGAGGGUCCAGAAACUUUCGAUGAUGUGUUCCAGGUCAUUCAGUAAGUAGUGGGGACUCGGUUUCUUGCCAACCAGUAGAAACCGAAAGAUCAUAAUACACCAUCCCGAAGAAGAUUUUGCUUCAUUUCUCUGUAAGACAAGUCAGACCCGCUUGGUUAGCUAGAGAGUUCGUUGCCCAGAGUACAAAAAGGAGCAAGUCUCUGGAGCUGCCAGGUGUGUGGGACAGAGCCCAGGGCGACGGUAGUUGCUGGGAGAUCAGAGUUCUAACUUUGCUGUGUGACUCAGCCCAAGCCACUUCCCCUCUCUCUUUGUCCUUCACCUAUUAAUAACGAUGUCCCACGUCACGUUGGGAUAGCUACCAGUGAUGGAAAAUGCACAGCGCGGUUAGUUCCGAUGUGAUUCCUGGGAACAGAAGGGAUCCACAGCCAUCUGCCGACUGUUGUGAGUAAAAUAUGUGCUGGCUGCCUUCGGAGCAGAGGCAUUUUCUUCCCAGGAAGAGGGUGGGCUGGAGGCCUGAGGCUGGACUCUGCCCUCUUCAGGGGCAUUGACCAAUGCGAGGCUCUAGAGAUCCUGGCAGAGAGCAGUCUGGUCUUAGGAGGAAAAAGAAAGAAAAGGCAGGUUAUCUGGAGGGAAAGCAGCAAACAUUCAUCAGAAGGAAAUUAUCUGAAGACUUUGGCAGGACUGGGAAAUGGGUAAAAUCAAGGCUUGGAUCUUCUUUUAUAAAUUGUGGUAAAAUAUCGAAAUGUAAAAUUUACCAUUUUAGCUAUUUUUAGGCGUACAGUUUACUCUUAAGGUCAUUCACAUUAUUAUGCAACCAUUACCACCACCCAUCUCCAGAACUUCUUUUCAUUUUGCAAAAGCGAAACUCUGAACCCAUUAAAUAACAACUCCCCGUUCCUCACCCCCUCCAGCCCUGGCCAAUCACCCUUCUAUUUUCUGUCUCUGUGAAUCUGACAACUUUUGGUAUCUCAAAUAAGUGGAAUCAUAUGGUAUUUGUCCUUUGGUGACUGGCGUAUUUCACUUAGUAUAAUGACCUCAAAUGUUCAUUCAUGUUGUAGCAUGUGCCAAAACUUUUUCCUUUUGAAGGCGGAAUAAUAUUCUCUUGUAGGCAUAUCCAUUUAUCCAUCAGUGGACACUUGGAUUGCUUCCACAUUUUGGCUAUUGUAAAUAAUACUGCUAUAAACAUGAGUAUACAAGUAUCUUUUCUAGACCCCGCUUUUACUUCCUUUGGAUAUAUACCCAGAAGUGGAAUUGCUAGAUAUAUGGUAAUUCUAUUAAUUAAUUAAUUAAUUAAUUAGGUUGCACUGAGUCUUAGUUGCAGUAGGCGGGCUCCUUAGUUGCGGCUCACGGGCUCCUUAGUUGCGGCAUGCAUGUAGGAUCUAGUUCUCUGACCAGGGAUCGAACCCGGGCCCUGGGCAUUGGGAGCAUGGAGUCUUAACCACUGCACCACCAGGGAAGUCCUGGUAAUUCUAGUUUUGUUUUUGUUUGUUUGUUUGUUUUUGCGGUACGCGCGCCUCUCACUGUUGUGGCCUCUCCUGUUGCGGAGCACAGGCUCUGGAGGCGCAGGCUCAGCAGCCAUGGCUCACGGGCCCAGCCGCUCCGCGGCACGUGGGAUCUUCCCGGACUGGGGCAUGAACCCGUGUCCCCUGCAUCGGCAGGUGGACUCUCAACCACUGCGCCACCAGGGAAGCCCUGGUAAUUCUAUUUUUAAUGUUGAGGAACCACCAUACUGUUUUCCACAGUGGCUGCACCAAUUUACAUUCCUACCAGCAAUGCAUAAGGGUACCAAUUGCUCCAUAGCCUUGCCAACACUUGUUAUUUUCUGUUGUUUCUUUUUAUAAUAGCCAUCCUAAUGGGUGUGAGGUGGCAUACCAUUGUGGUUUUGAUUUGCAUUUACCUAGUGACUAGUGACUUGAGCAUCUUUUCAUGUGCUUAUUGGCCAUUUGUACAUCUUCUUUUUUUUUUUUUUUUGUGGUACGUGGGCCCUCACUGCUGUGGCCUCUCCCGCUGUGGAGCACAGGAUCCGGACGCGCAGGCUCAGCGGCCAUGGCUCACGGGGCCAGCCGCUCUGCGGCAUGUGCGAUUUUCCCGGACUGGGGCACGAACCCGUGUCCCCUGCAUCUGCAGGCAGACUCUCAACCACUGCGCAACAAGGGAAGCCCUGUACAUCUUCUUAGGAGAAAGUCUUUUGCCCAUUUUAAAAAAGGAUUGUUUGUGGCUGAAUGAAAUUUUUCCAUCUGCAACAACAUGGAUGGACUUGGAGGAUAUUAUGCUAAGUGAAAUAAGUCAGACAGAGAAAGACAAGUACUGUAUGAUCUCACUUCUAUGUGGAAUCUAAAAAAUACAACAAACUAGUGAAUUUAACAAAAAAAAGCAGACUCACAGAUAUAGAGAACAAACUAGUUCCCUUUCCAGUGGGGAAAGGGAAGGGAGGAGGGGCAACAUACGGGUAGGGGACUAAGAGGCACAAACUAUUAGGUAUAAAAUAAGCUACAAGAACAUAUAUAGUACAACACAGGAAAUACAGCCAAUAUUUUAUAAUAACUAUAAAUGGAGAAUAACCUUUAAAAAUUGUGAAUCACUAUAUUGUACAUCUGUAACAUAUAAUAUUGUA